rnacentral:rRNA from 1 species
GAUGAACGCUGGCGGCGUGCCUAAUACAUGCAAGUCGAGCGAACGGACGAGAAGCUUGCUUCUCUGAUGUUAGCGGCGGACGGGUGAGUAACACGUGGAUAACCUACCUAUAAGACUGGGAUAACUUCGGGAAACCGUAGCUAAUACCGGAUAAUAUUUUGAACCGCAUGGUUCAAAAGUGAAAGACGGUCUUGCUGUCACUUAUAGAUGGAUCCGCGCUGCAUUAGCUAGUUGGUAAGGUAACGGCUUACCAAGGCAACGAUGCAUAGCCGACCUGAGAGGGGAAUCGGCCACACGGAAACUGGGAAGCGGCCCAGACCCCUACGGGGGGCAGAGGUGGGAAAUCUUCCGAAAGGGGGGAAAGCCUGCCGGAGCAACGCCGCGGGGGGGAGGAGGGUUUUCGGUUCGUAAAACCUUUUUAUUGGGGAAAAAAAAAGGUGAAAGAAACUGGGCACACUUGGCCGGACCCAAACAAAAAACCCAGGGUAAACUACGG